rnacentral:rRNA from 1 species
AGUGAACGCUGGCGGUAGGCCUAACACAUGCAAGUCGAACGGCAGCACAGGAGAGCUUGCUCUCUGGGUGGCGAGUGGCGGACGGGUGAGGAAUACAUCGGAAUCUACUCUGUCGUGGGGGAUAACGUAGGGAAACUUACGCUAAUACCGCAUACGACCUACGGGUGAAAGCAGGGGAUCUUCGGACCUUGCGCGAUUGAAUGAGCCGAUGUCGGAUUAGCUAGUUGGCGGGGUAAAGGCCCACCAAGGCGACGAUCCGUAGCUGGUCUGAGAGGAUGAGCAGCCACACUGGAACUGAGACACGGUCCAGACUCCUACGGGAGGCAGCAGUGGGGAAUAUUGGACAAUGGGCGCAAGCCUGAUCCAGCCAUACCGCGUGGGUGAAGAAGGCCUUCGGGUUGUAAAGCCCUUUUGUUGGGAAGGAAAUCCAGCUGGUUAAUACCCGGUUGGGAUGACGGUACCCAAAGAAUAAGCACCGGCUAACUUCGUGCCAGCCGCCGCAGUAA